AACGUAGGAGGCGAGCGUUAUCCGGAUUUACUGGGUGUAAAGCGCAUGCAGGCGGUUCUGUAAGUUCGGUGUGAAAGCUCCUGGCUCAACUGGGAGAGGUCGCUGAAGACUGCAGGGCUUGAGCGUGGUAGGGGAAGGCGGAAUUCCGGGUGUAGUGGUGAAAUGCGUAGAUAUCCGGAGGAACACCAGUGGCGAAGGCGGCCUUCUGGACCAUGACUGACGCUCAGAUGCGAAAGCUAGGGUAGCAAACGGG
rnacentral:rRNA from 1 species